rnacentral:rRNA from 1 species
GAAUACUGGCGUAAGCUGCGUAGGUGUCGUUAAGUCCGUGUAAAGCCUGGGCUCACCUGGAAAUGCAGUGUUACUGGCGACUAGAGUGUGUAGAGGUAGCGGAUUCCUGGUGAGCAGGAAAUGCGUAGAAUCAGGAGGACAUCCAUGGGAAGGAGCUACCUGACCAACAUGACACUGAGCACGAAAGCGUGGGAGCAAACAGGAUUAGUACCCUGGUGUCCACGCCCUAAACGAUGCGAACUGGAUGUUGGGUGCAAUUUGGCACGCAGUAUCGAAGCUAACGCGUUAAAUUCGCCGCCUGGGGAGUACGGUCGCAAGACUGAAACUCAAAGGAAUUGACGGGGGCCCGCACAAGCGGUGGAGUAUGUGGUUUAAUUCGAUGCAACGCGAAGAACCUUACCUGGCCUUGACAUGUCGAGAACUUUCCAGAGAUGGAUGGGUGCCUUCGGGAACUCGAACACAGGUGCUGCAUGGCGGUCGUCAGCUCGUGUCGUGAGAUGUUGGGUUAAGUCCCGCAACGAGCGCAACCCUUGUCUUUAGUUGCCAGCACGUAAUGGUGGGAACUCUAAGGAGACCGCCGGUGACAAACCGGAGGAAGGUGGGGAUGACGUCAAGUCAUCAUGGCCCUUACGGCCAGGGCUACACACGUACUACAAUGGUAGGGACAGAGGGCUGCAAGCCGGCGACGGUAAGCCAAUCCCAGAAACCCUAUCUCAGUCCGGAUUGGAGUUUGCAACUUGACUCCAUGAAGUUGGAAUCGCUAGUAAUCGCAGAUCAGCAUUGCUGCGGUGAAUACGUUCCCGGGCCUUGUACACACCGCCCGUCACACCAUGGGAGUUUGUUGCACCAGAAGCAGGUAGCUUAAC